ensembl:lncRNA
AUGACAGCCCCGCAGCACCACACAAACCCCAUUACCAACCCCAGAAAGCUGGCAAAAGGAGAAGAAGAAAAAAAAAAAGGGCAAAACAAAAACAAAACGGACGCAGAAGCAGCACGGGGCCUGCUCUGUGAGGGAGCGGCGCACUACAAGCCCCACAACGCCUUUCGGGCCGCGGGCAUGCGCCGCCGCCGCCACCGCCACCCCGGGGCUCCACAGCGCGGCGGGCGAGGGGCCGCCGCCUCCCGCUGCCGCCGCCGGAGGGGGCGGUCGGGGCGGCACGGCACGGCACGGCACGGCACGGCGGGGCCGGGCCGGGGGCAGGCGCCGGGGGGAGGGGAGCNNNNNNNNNNNNNNNNNNNNGCGGGGCCGGGCCGGAGGCAGCCGCCGGAGGCAGACCUUCGCUGCUGGUGGCAGGACGUGCUCCCUCCUGUGUCAGCGCACCGUCGGCUCCAACACUGUCCUGCAGCUGCCUCUCCUGUCCUGGCAGAGAACUGGUCUUUGCCUUCACCAUGUCAAGGAGUGUUAAUGAUGUGCUCCCUCUCCGUUGCAUUCCCCACCUGUCAUCU